UGGGGAAUAUUGGACAAUGGGCGAAAGCCUGAUCCAGCCAUGCCGCGUGAGUGACGAAGGCCUUAGGGUUGUAAAGCUCUUUUGGCGGGGAAGAUAAUGACGGUACCCGCAGAAUAAGCUCCGGCUAACUUCGUGCCAGCAGCCGCGGUAAUACGAAGGGAGCUAGCGUUGUUCGGAAUCACUGGGCGUAAAGCGCACGUAGGCGGAUGUGUCAGUCAGGGGUGAAAUCCCGGAGCUCAACUUCGGAACUGCCCUUGAUACAGCACGUCUUGAGUCCGAUAGAGGUGGGUGGAAUUCCUAGUGUAGAGGUGAAAUUCGUAGAUAUUAGGAAGAACACCGGUGGCGAAGGCGGCCCACUGGAUCGGUACUGACGCUGAGGUGCGAAAGCGUGGGGAGCAAACAGGAUUAGAUACCCCAGUAGUCCCUGAGCGGGCUGGCAAGGCGCAU
rnacentral:rRNA from 1 species